AUACGGAGGGUGCGAGCGUUAAUCGGAAUUACUGGGCGUAAAGCGUACGUAGGCGGUUGGUUAAGUUAGAUGUGAAAGCCCCGGGCUUAACCUGGGAACUGCAUUUAAAACUGGCGAACUAGAGUUGAGUAGAGGGGAGUGGAAUUUCAGGUGUAGCGGUGAAAUGCGUAGAGAUCAGAAGGAACACCAGUGGCGAAGGCGACUCCCUGGACUCGAACUGACGCUGAGGUACGAAAGCGUGGGUAGCAAACGGGAUUAGAUACCCCAGUAGUCC
rnacentral:rRNA from 1 species